rnacentral:rRNA from 1 species
GUUGAACGCUGGCGGCAUGCCUUACACAUGCAAGUCGAACGGCAGCACGGGGGGCAACCCUGGUGGCGAGUGGCGAACGGGUGAGUAAUGCAUCGGAACGUGCCCCGUAGCGGGGGAUAACCAGUCGAAAGACUGGCUAAUACCGCAUACGCUCCACGGAGGAAAGCAGGGGAUCGCAAGACCUUGCACUAUGGGAGCGGCCGAUGCCCGAUUAGCUAGUUGGUGAGGAAAGGCUCACCAAGGCGACGAUCGGUAGCUGGUUUGAGAGAACGACCAGCCACACUGGGACUGAGACACGGCCCAGACUCCUACGGGAGGCAGCAGUGGGGAAUUUUGGACAAUGGGCGCAAGCCUGAUCCAGCCAUGCCGCGUGCGGGAUGAAGGCC